AGCCCUGUUCCUGCUCCGGCUCCUGCGGGGAUGGAUGCUUCACGCAGUAAGCGAGUAAGCGAGCCCUGGAGACCGGGGCCCUGGGUGUGCGGUCGGCUCAGUGCCACGCGGUGAGAUAGGCAUGGUUAUCAACCCACGCCAAGGCGGUUGUGUACCUGGCAUAGAAAACACUGCUGUUGAAUGUUGUUUCCAUAGUCAUUCGCCAGCGUCCACUGAUGAGAGGUGCCACCACGGACACCCGGCCUUGCUCCGUCGAAGCUUUGGUCCAUUAGGACCAAAGUCAGGCCCCAGCGGGCCUCCCUGCCAUUCCUGGACGGCCUCGCGUCCUCCCAGAGCCUGACCUUCUCUUAUCUCUGCAGCCUAAGUCGCGGAAGCGUAGACACCCGGCUUUUCCCGCGUGCUCUAUCGGGCUCCCCUGGACACGGAGGGUGGAGCAGAAAGAGCAGAGGGGCCGGUGGGAGCCAUGGGGAGUCCGCCUAGCUCCAGAGGACACCUUACCUGGAUCCGCCUUUGUAGCCUCCUCCUGGCUCUGGGGGCUGUCCUGUGGGGUCCGAGUAGCUGAAAGACAGCCCCUCCAUGAAAGUGCUGCUUUCAACAUCUGCCACAUUUGCAAGAAGAGCAAAGGUGGCCCAUUUGAGACCACCCUUGAACUAAACCAUCCAGUGAGCCCCUGAGGUCGGGACAGAAGUGGCCAUGACCUUCCUCAAGCAGGGACUGUGGUGGAGCCCACCUUAUCCAGCACAAGGUGGCCUGCUGACUUCUGGUGACAGUGAUGCCAACUUCCUGGCUGUCCAAGGUUCAAAUCUUGGUCUUAAUCCUCCUGGCCUUCUCUCAUCAAUGGCCAGAGCCACCCUAGCUAACAAGGUGCCCAGGGACUCCGGGGUGGGAGAAGUCCAGCUUCUUCUUAGCUGAGGACAUUUGAGUCUCGUCACAGCCCCCAAAAGAAUACUCAUUUUUGUAGCUGGAGGGCCUGGCCUCUGUCUAUCUUUGCUUUUCCAGAAGCUGACAAGUACCUGCCGGAAAAACUGCCUCUUUUCCCUCCCGUGCUUGGAGCAGGCAUUGCUGACAGAUCACAGCUGCUGGGCCCAAAGGUCCCUUUGCACGCGGGACUUCAGGAAGUUGCUGCUGACCUAUGGGAGUUGGUGCAGAAAGAUGAAAUUUGUUAUCCUUGGCUGUAUCAACUCUCUCUCCUCUCCUUGGUGGUGAUAGUUUUGUUCUUAAAAGCCUCUUGUGAGAGAAUUUGUGGAUGAAGAACCUGUAAGAUCACAAGUGAAACAAUUUAUUGAUGUCAAUAGAUUUAUACACGUUCAUUAAGAAUCAAAACUAAACUAAAACAUCAGUCUGACUAAAGAGACCACCACAGAUAUUUCAUAUGCUGUACAUCAGUAACAAAGGGUACCAAAUAGUUAAUAUCCAUGUACUAGUCACAUGAGAAAUGUUUUAGGGUCAUUGACCAGUGUAGUCAGUACAGUGGUCCCAUGGUAUUUGUGGGGGAUUGGUUCCAGGAAUCUCUUGGACACCAACUCCGUGGAUGAUCAGACAAUAUAAAAUGUGGGUCAGGUGCGGUGGCUCAUACCUGUAAUCCCAGCAUUUUGCGAGAAUCACUUGAGGCCAGUUCAAGAUCAGCCUGUGCAACAUAGCAAGACUCCACCUCUAAAAAAAAAAAAAAAAAAAAAAA
rnacentral:lncRNA from 1 species